rnacentral:Y_RNA from 1 species
UGCUGCUCCGAGUGCAGUGGUGUUUACAACUAAUUGAUCACAACCAGUUACAGAUUUCUUUGUUCCUUCUCCACUCCCACUGCUUCACUUGACUAGCCUAAA